CUUCACUGGUGGGCGUACACAACCUGGUACAAUAAAGCCCGAUGAAGGAGAGAGGCAUCCUUAUUCAGUUCUAGAUUGCCAGCCUAUACGUGAAGCUAUCUUACCUUCUGUACUCUACAUACAGAAGAUCUUGCGGCGUAAACCCUUUUUGAUUAAGAACCUUGAAAAUGUUAUGCGAAAGUUCCUUCAGUCCUUGGAGCUCUUUGAGGAGAAUGAAAGAAAGAAGCUUGCUAUAUUCACAGCCCUUACAUUCUCUCAGAAACUAUCAGGGCUUCCGCCUGAGACCGUCUUUCAGUCAUUACUUAAGGACAAUCUUGUGGCUAAGGGGAUAGUUCUUCCAUUUAUUACUGAGUUCUUCAAGGAAUACUUGGUCGAUAACAGUUUAGAUGAUCUUAUAUCACUUCUGAAGCGAGGUAAAAUGGAGGACAAUCUCCUUGAUUUUUUCCCUUCGGCAAGACGCUCUGCUGAAUGUUUCUCUGAGCAUUUCAAGUAAGUACAUCUUCUGAAUUAUUAUGAAGUUUAUUAUACCCCUAGUCCAUCUGCAAACUAAUCGCUUACCCAUUUCUUCAUUUGGUGAUUUUCCAGCAAAGAAGGAUUGGUAGCUCUUGUCGAGUACCAUGAAAAGAAAAUAUUUGAGGUGAAGCUGAAGGUAAUGAAAUCAGCUCUGACGACUCAGAUUGCAGAAGAAACUGAUGUAUCUGAAGUUAUAGAGACUGCAAAGCAACGAGUGAAAGAUGCUAACUUGCCUGAUGUUGAAGUUGUGCGCAUUCUCUGGGAUGUGCUAAUGGAUGCUGUUCAGUGGUCUGGUAAAAACCAGCAGCAGAAUGCAAAUUCUGCACUUCGCCAGGUAAGUAAUUCUUUUUAAUUUAGUUCUAUGUUUAGAUAGAAGAUCUUUGACAUCUAUAUUGAUUAGUGACAUUUAUAUGUUCUCUUACAAUAAUUUCAGAUUCUUCUGUUAUUUCAGUUUCUUUUUUACUUUACUUUUCAAGAGAAACAUGAGUCAUAGUUGUAAACUUCACUAGAUGCCUUUUCAUGUAUGUGCGACUCCUGUCUACCACAAAUUUACAAGCUGCUCUAUUUUAGUUAGUAGAUACAUCAGGGUUAGCAUUUUGUGAAUUAAAGUUCAUGGGACGUGAUAGGCAGAGCAACUUGUCUUGAAAAAGAAGUGAGCAUGAAAACUGAUCAUCUUUGGAACUUGUAAAGUCAUUUUAUCUAAGAUUAGUAAUAUGAUUAUCAAUUUAGGUGCAACUGAUUACACAAAACUGAGGUGUGAUUGUGCAAACAUGCAUUCUGAUUUGAUGUAACAUGGCUUUGGUCUCAACUUUAGUCUAAGACAACAUACUAAUGUGAAAAAUAACUUGAUCAAUAUGAUGAGAAUGGAAGGGCAAGAAGGAGAGAGGGAUAGAAUUAUACUAGAACCUAGAGGAAACACUUGUUACAAAGAGAUAAGACAACAAGACCAAAAAGCCUCUUGACAGAAAAUUUCAUGAGAUCAUUUUUAUUGUCAUUCUCAUUUCACUGCAUACUUGUUUUAUUUAUUAAACAAAGGAUAAGAUGAGAAUUCUAUAUUAUCAUCUAAAACUACUUACUAAUCUAGAUUAUCUUGAAGAUAAGAUCUUGUUCAUUUUAACGUUGUUUCCAAGAGAACAAACAAAUUAUAAAUCCUAAGAUGAUGAUAUGAUAAGACAUUCUAACCAAUUCAAUAUCUAACUAAUACAAAAAAGAAAACUUGAAAGUCUAACCAAACUAAAUUGAGUUAAAAGCAUGAAUCCUUUAUAGGAUGCAUUUAUUUGCUUUCUGCUGUAUAGAGCUCAUCCUCAAAAUCCAUGGUGGAGUUGCACUAGAUUUGAUAUUAAAAUUUCACUGGAAUUCCUAAUCAGGAUGACUCUGGUUUUGAAUUUCUCCCGCUGUUGCAAUCACUUGAAUCAUAGAAUUUCUGUCGUCUGAGUGAAGAUUAUAAGAAUAAGGCUAUAAGCUGGAUGAAAAUUUUAAGUGACUUUCAAAAUUGAAAUAUUCUUCAAUAUUUUCUUUCCAAAGGUUUUUCAUAAGUACUGUCUAAAUGAUAAGACAUCCUUUCCAAACCCAAUAUCUGAUCAGUUCAAAAAAAUCUUGAAAUCAAAUCUGGUCUAUUUUUUGGGAAUGUGUUAGAUAUCCGAGAAUGUCAAUGGUUAUCGGAAGAAUAGGGAAAACAGAAUGAUUUUCUUUGGACAUACAAAAGGAAUGGCACUCUUCCAUUGACUAGAUGAUGUGGUAUUUAUGUAGUGUUAUUCUGUGCUUCAGAUAACUGUCACCCAUUGCAUCCAAGUAUGGACUGGCAACUAUUGCAUAUUUUCCUUCUAUAUGGUGUUUACAUUAGAUGGAAGGAUGUGCUAUUUCUAUGUUUCCGUAGAUGAAAUGCUCUGGUAUCACAGUACAUUGUGUCUAGACUCCAAGUGCUUUAAUUUGGACAUGUAUGUGCUUAAUAUUGCAAAGAUACGAAGUUCAACCAUAUCAAUUGUUCAGUAAUAUGUCUGUUCGCUUUGGCAAUUUUAAUGAUGCUAUGCCAUCAAAGUAGCAAAAAACAUCCUGAUUUUUGGAACCAAGAUGUGUCUCAUGUACAGAGGUUCAAUUUCUCUAAAGAUUAAAUAAUUGAUGCAUGAGGAGUUUAACUUGUGUUGGGAAUUUUUUGAAAAAAGUGUUCUAGGCAGCAGAACUAGGAUGCAGAUUUUAACUUUGAAAAAUGGAUUUUCCAGUUCAAUCUUGAUUGGCUGUUCCUUUUAAGUUGACUUCUAAGCGCAUGCUUAUUAUUUCAUGCAUGUGCCCCUAAUCUCAGUUCUAUUCAAUUUAGGUUGCCAGAAUUACCUAAUUAUGAGGAUCUUUUAGCCAUAGGGGACUGAAUAUCAAUGUUUCUUGCAGAUACAUUUUGAGCAACUGUUGUUUGUUGCUUAUAUGGGGUGCCUGUCUUUUGUCUUGAUGCUUCAACUAUUUGGUAAAAAUGUGCAUGUUUUCUCUUUUGUUCUUCUAGUUAAGCAUCCUUAGCCAUCGUCUUGCACAUCAUAUAAGUGUAGAAUAUUUGGUUCUAUCAAUGCUGUACUUGGAAGUUGGCUUCCUGUGCAUUUGCUUUCAGGAGUUUCAUAGUAUAGAUUUCAGUGUAUUUUUUUUCAUGUAUUCUGUACAGCAUGUUAAUUGAUUAUUUUUUAUGUAUGUUAUGCAAGUGUACACGUAGGGUAUGAAAUCCCUUGAUAAUGACAUUCUUUGUGGAGGUGACUUCACCUUUUCCUGUUAAAAAAUAAAUUGAGUAUAAAAGGAAUGGAGAAAACACUCUUUAUUUUUCAUGCUAUUUUUUUUUUAUUUAUUUGGAUCAAGGACUUUGCUAUGUCUGCAGGUGAAAGCUUGGGCAGGGCUUCUGAAUGCUUUUUGUACUAGUGGGAAACUGGAACUAGAACUGAUUUACAAAGUCCAGAUCCAGUGCUAUGAGGAUGCCAAACUUAUGAAAUUGUUUCCAGAAAUUAUAAGGUCUCUUUAUGAGCAAGAUGUUCUUGCUGAGGAU
rnacentral:lncRNA from 1 species